CAGCGGUCAAAGCCCAGCUGACAUGGGAGCUGGCAGCAGCCACAGAUCUGCUCCGCUCACCAGAGUGGCACCUCGUCCCUCUCCAGUGUGUUUUGGCUCCACACCCAGACAGAUGGGCAGCCCACACCCCAGGGAACUUCUAAACCAUGCACAUGGAGCCUCAAUUUGCCUGGGAGACUGAGACACAGAGCUCUCCCAUGGGGAAAGCCCCAUGCCUCCAACGAUGCCUGCCCAGAAACGAGAAGCUGAAGCCACGCUGGUUCUUGCUGCGCUGUGCAUUGGAUUCCUCUUUCUUGCACCUUUGAGGUAGAGCCACAGACUCUCACAUCCAAAGGCACAGGCGCCUCCUUACAGGCGGAGGGUCUGCAGAAGUCUGGGAAAAGCCGCAGCUGGACACCGGGUGACAGCUCUUUCCUGUUUAUCCCCUGCUUCUCAGCCAGGCUGCCUCCAAACCGGCCUCGGGGCCAAGGCGCAGAGCGCACGGAUGCCGGAUGCCGUGUCUGUGGCUGAGCUGGUGGCGCGGCGCCAGCUCUCAGCUUUCAUUGCCAAGCCAUACUUCGCCGCCAGCCCAGCCGUGCGCUCUCUGCCCAAGAUGGCACAGGGCACCCGCACCAGGCGUGAUUCUGUCCCUGGCACAGUCACACCUGGGGACAGGGAUUUAUCGGCUGGGCUGAGGUGCGGAGGCAGCAGGAGGCUGAGGGGCAAAUCCGCCUGCAGUUCGGCAGAGGGAACGGAGGGGCACCGCCGGGAAAAGAAAAUCGGUCCUACCAGACGUGAGCCUCAAAGCAGAGGAGAGGGCAGAGACACCAUGAGAUUUCCCCAGGGCUCUCAUACACGCAUAGAUCAUACAGCAGCACAGGGUCGCUGAGGUGGUUCUUCUCCACCCCUGCCAUGUAUUUCCACGCACCUGCUAAGAAUUUGAUUCUCUGUCCCUUCUCUUGUAAACAAAUGCAACUAGAACAAUUUUUAAUUACUUUUAUAUUUUAUGAAGGGAGGAAUAAAUAAAAGGUAACGAGAUGAUUGAGCAAAAA